GACGAACGCUGGCGGCGUGCUUAACACAUGCAAGUCGAACGGAAAGGCCCUGCUUUUGUGGGGUGCUCGAGUGGCGAACGGGUGAGUAACACGUGAGUAACCUGCCCUUGACUUUGGGAUAACAUCAGGAAACUGGGGCUAAUACCGGAUAGGAGCUCCUGCUGCAUGGUGGGGGUUGGAAAGUUUCGGCGGUUGGGGAUGGACUCGCGGCUUAUCAGCUUGUUGGUGGGGUAGUGGCUUACCAAGGCUUUGACGGGUAGCCGGCCUGAGAGGGUGACCGGCCACAUUGGGACUGAGAUACGGCCCAGACUCCUACGGGAGGCAGCAGUGGGGAAUAUGGCACAAUGGGCGGAAGCCUGAUGCAGCAACGCCGCGUGCGGGAUGACGGCCUUCGGGUUGUAAACCGCUUUCGCCUGUGACGAAGCGUGAGUGACGGUAAUGGGUAAAGAAGCACCGGCUAACUACGUG
rnacentral:rRNA from 1 species